rnacentral:rRNA from 1 species
GACGAACGCUGGCGGCGUGCCUAAUACAUGCAAGUCGAACGCUUCUUUCCUCCCGAGUGCUUGCACUCAAUUGGAAAGAGGAGUGGCGGACGGGUGAGUAACACGUGGGUAACCUACCCAUCAGAGGGGGAUAACACUUGGAAACAGGUGCUAAUACCGCAUAACAGUUUAUGCCGCAUGGCAUAAGAGUGAAAGGCGCUUUCGGGUGUCGUUGAUGGAUGGACCCGCGGUGCAUUAGCUAGUUGGUGAGGUAACGGCUCACCAAGGCCACGAUGCAUAGCCGACCUGAGAGGGUGAUCGGCCACACUGGGACUGAGACACGGCCCAGACUCCUACGGGAGGCAGCAGUAGGGAAUCUUCGGCAAUGGACGAAAGUCUGACCGAGCAACGCCGCGUGAGUGAAGAAGGUUUUCGGAUCGUAAAACUCUGUUGUUAGAGAAGAACAAGGACGUUAGUAACUGAACGUCCCCUGACGGUAUCUAACCAGAAAGCCACGGCUAACGACGUG